UAGGAAAGCAAUAAUUAUUGUUGUCAUGCUAAAUGUAUUUAUUUGGUUUAUUUUGUUGAUCAAGUCUAACCUUGAUCACAAUUGAUAAAAACAAAAGAAAGACAGCAUAGUCAUCAGUGAAGAUUCGAUCUAAAUAGAUGUCUUUUGGUGGUUGGUACCAGGUCACAGGAUUUCCCCGUCGCAACCCACGGAGUUUACAGAGCGGAAACGCUCUAUCGAAUACUUAACCAACAUUUCCUCCUGUUCCGGCUUCUGGCGUUUUCUCAACAGACAUCGGUUGAAACCCACCAUCCCUGUAUGUUUACAUUAACAUGAAAAUGGAAAAAACUAAAUUGUUAUUUGUCCGAUGUUGCAAUUUAUUGACAAUUAUUGAAAAUUAUGUCUGUUUUGAUAUGCGCAUGUACGCGUCAUGAGCAUUGUCAUAGAGUUGUGCAACCUCUCUAUGUGCAGUGGGAUAAUAAAAGGGACUUUCCGUGACUAUAUUGGAAUAUACGCCGAUGCAAAUGAGCAGUCGUCGCUUCCCUUAUAUACCAACUACUAUGUGAGGCCCAUCAUGAACGCUGUGAGUUUGGAGAAGGCGGCUAAUGAUCUCCCAGUGCGCCUCUUUACCCAGACAGCACGGCAGGAUGAUUCAGCAGUGGCACGGCCGUGAUGCUGACAGCACUGUUACCAAAAUGACUCAUCCUGAUGAUGAAGCCAAAGAAAGAAAAAGGAGAGAGAACCUCAUGAGCUCAAGACGGUUGCUGCCGAUUCUGCUGUGUCAGCCUUUUUCCAUGCUGAAGAGGACACGGAUCAAAGCAUGAUAAACCUUCUCACCCUCCUUUAUAAAACAAGUAUCCAUUCAUUAAUCACUACUCACCCAGCACAAAUAAACAGCUGCACCAAGUAUCGACUAUAUGUAUUGUAAAGCGGAGCAUGGUCCAAUAUGGGCAGCCACAAUGUGUCUCCCCUCUUUUCUCUAGUUUGGCCUCAAAACUGACAGUUGGUCGAUUAGUUAACUAAAACAAAUGCAAGUAAUUCAUCAUGGAGACAGGGUUUUAAUGUAAACAGUAUGUUGCCCCUAGAGGUUGUUUCCAUGACGAUGAAGGGAGGAGAUGAGCUAGAUGGAUCUCUGCAUACGAUUUAUGACGCCAAUAAAUCAGUAUAAAUGCAUAUGGUUCCACGACUGACACACACACACACACACACACACACACACACACACACACACACACACACACACACACACACACACACACACACACACAAUGUCUUUUAAGAAGUUCCCAAAAAUAACAAUGUGUCCAGUUCAUUAUGUUAUGUAAUUGACAGAGGCAGAGGGACUGGAGGGCAUGAAGUCACUUUAGCCCUUUCGUAUGACGAUGCUACACUUUGGAAACAGACAGAUGGCUCCUGUUCUCCACACCCUGGAAACUGUUACUGAUUUUGUAAUAUAAAAAAACCAAACAGUUAUGUUAGUAGUAAAGGGGACUGGAUCCACCUGUUAAUUAGUAGGGAAAACUCAGUUGUCAGAGCCCAGUAGAUGGAUCCCCACCAGGGGGUGUGUGGGGGGUAAAGCUGCUAAUGAUGGCUAUUAGACACCUUAUUAAUGUACUCCUUUGGAAACGUUUCUUCAUUUUCUGUGAUCCGACAAUAAUCUGUGUAUUCUGUUCACUGUGGGCCGACCACAGUUAAAAGCGAAUGCAGUUUAUGAUAUAAUGUUUGGUAAAAUGACAAAAGCCUUUCAGAGAAUAACAAGGACACAUGUAAAGUGCCUUUUGUGUGGUCAUUGUUUUUAUAUUGUCAUUAAACAAUACUGUGUCAUACAUUCUUAUAGAUGUGCGCCUGAUACCUUGAAUGACUCAGGAGAGAGGCAACCUGCCACACUAACGGAUCGAGUGGACAGCCUGCUUGGGUAACGUCAUCAGUAGCUGCCCAUAUGCUGUGUUUUUAGAGGAGUUCAAAUACACAGCUCCGGGCCUG